rnacentral:rRNA from 1 species
UACGUAGGGGGCAAGCGUUGUCCGGAUUUAUUGGGCGUAAAGAGCGUGUAGGCGGCUUUACAGGUCCGCUGUGAAAACUCGAGGCUCAACCUCGAGCUGUCGGUGGAAACCGUAAGGCUAGAGUCCGGAAGAGGAGAGUGGAAUUCCCGGUGUAGCGGUGAAAUGCGCAGAUAUCGGGAAGAACACCCGUGGCGAAGGCGGCUCUCUGGGACGGUACUGACGCUG